rnacentral:rRNA from 1 species
CGCUCUAGCCGUAGAGGGUAGCCGUAUAGUUUCUUCCUUUACCCUUACCGUUCCUUGCUCCUCUCAAUUCAGCGGCGGACGGGUGAGUAACACGUGGGCAACCUGCCCUGUAGAUUGGGAUAACUCCGGGAAACCGGGGCUAAUACCGAAUAAUCCUUCGGACCUCAUGGUCCGAUGUUGAAAGGCGGCUUCGGCUGUCACUACAGGAUGGGCCCGCGGCGCAUUAGCUAGUUGGUGAGGUAACGGCUCACCAAGGCCACGAUGCGUACCGACCUGAAGGGUGAUCGGCCACACUGGGACUGAACACGGCCCAACUCCUACGGGAGGCAGCAUAGGGAAUCUUCCCAAUGGACGAAAGUCUGAUGGACAACGCCGCGUGAGUGAAGAAGGUUCCCGAUCAAAAAUCUGUUGAAAAAAAAAUACGAUACUGCGGCCUGGGCAUU